rnacentral:lncRNA from 1 species
GGGCAGCGGGGGGGAGGGGCUUCUGAGGCUUUGGCUGGAUCAGGCUAAUCUGGGACUGAGAGGGCAGGAGGGGCCAGAACAAAGGA